AUUCUAGGACGGCAUUCAUUAAAGGGUGAUACAAGGGGAGAUCUAGUGACGGCAUCAUUAAAGGGAUACAAGGGGAGAUCUAGUGGCGGCAUCAUUAAAGGGGAGAUCUAGUGGCAGCAUCAUUAAAGGGGAGAUCUAGUGGCGGUAUAAUUAAAGGGAUACAAGGG
rnacentral:lncRNA from 1 species